GGGAAUCUGCCCUUGGGUACGGAAUAACAGUGAGAAAUUACUGCUAAUACCGUAUGAUGACGUAAGUCCAAAGAUUUAUCGCCCAAGGAUGAGCCCGCGUAGGAUUAGCUAGUUGGUGAGGUAAAGGCUCACCAAGGCGACGAUCCUUAGCUGGUCUGAGAGGAUGAUCAGCCACACUGGGACUGAGACACGGCCCAGACUCCUACGGGAGGCAGCAGUGGGGAAUAUUGGACAAUGGGCGAAAGCCUGAUCCAGCAAUGCCGCGUGAGUGAUGAAGGCCCUAGGGUUGUAAAGCUCUUUUACCCGGGAAGAUAAUGACUGUACCGGGAGAAUAAGCCCCGGCUAACUCCGUGCCAGCAGCCGCGGUAAUACGGAGGGGGCUAGCGUUGUUCGGAAUUACUGGGCGUAAAGCGUACGUAGGCGGCUUUGUAAGUUAGAGGUGAAAGCCCGGAGCUCAACUUCGGAAUAGCCUUUAAGACUGCAUCGCUUGAACGUCGGAGAGGUGAGUGGAAUUCCGAGU
rnacentral:rRNA from 1 species